rnacentral:rRNA from 1 species
GACGAACGCUGGCGGCGUGCCUAAUACAUGCAAGUAGAACGCUGAAGAGAGGAGCUUGCUCUUCUUGGAUGAGUUGCGAACGGGUGAGUAACGCGUAGGUAACCUGCCUUGUAGCGGGGGAUAACUAUUGGAAACGAUAGCUAAUACCGCAUAACAAUGGAUGACACAUGUCAUUUAUUUGAAAGGGGCAAUUGCUCCACUACAAGAUGGACCUGCGUUGUAUUAGCUAGUAGGUGAGGUAAUGGCUCACCUAGGCGACGAUACAUAGCCGACCUGAGAGGGUGAUCGGCCACACUGGGACUGAGACACGGCCCAGACUCCUACGGGAGGCAGCAGUAGGGAAUCUUCGGCAAUGGGGGCAACCCUGACCGAGCAACGCCGCGUGAGUGAAGAAGGUUUUCGGAUCGUAAAGCUCUGUUGUAAGUCAAGAACGGGUGUGAGAGUGGAAAGUUCA